UACGUAGGGUGCGAGCGUUGUCCGGAAUUAUUGGGCGUAAAGGGCUCGUAGGCGGUUUGUCGCGUCGGGAGUGAAAUCCACUGGCUUAACUGGUGGCUUGCUUUCGAUACGGGCAGACUGGAGGUAUGCAGGGGGAGAACGGAAUUCCUGGUGUAGCGGUGAAAAUGCGCAGAUAUCAGGAGGAACACCGGUGGCGAAGGCGGUUCUCUGGGCAUGUCCUGACGCUGAGGAGCGAAAAGUGUGGGGGGAGCGAACAGG
rnacentral:rRNA from 1 species